rnacentral:rRNA from 1 species
UACGAAGGGGGCUAGCGUUGCUCGGAAUUACUGGGCGUAAAGCGCACGUAGGCGGCUUCUUAAGUCGGGGGUGAAAUCCUGGAGCUCAACUCCAGAACUGCCUUCGAUACUGGGAGUCUUGAGUUCGGGAGAGGUGAGUGGAACUGCGAGUGUAGAGGUGAAAUUCGUAGAUAUUCGCAAGAACACCAGUGGCGAAGGCGGCUCACUGGCCCGAUACUGACGCUGAGGUGCGAAAGCGUGGGGAGCAAACAGG